AGUACGGUCGCAAGAUUAAACUCAAAGGAAUUGACGGGGCCCGCACAAGCGGUGGAGCAUGUGGUUUAAUUCGAAGCAACGCGCAGAACCUUACCACCUUUUGACAUGCCCGGACCGUCACGGAGACGUGACUUUCCCUUCGGGGACUGGGACACAGGUGCUGCAUGGUUGUCGUCAGCUCGUGUCGUGAGAUGUUGGGUUAAGUCCCGCAACGAGCGCAACCCUCGCCAUUAGUUGCCAUCAUUCAGUUGGGAACUCUAAUGGGACUGCCGGUGCUAAGCCGGAGGAAGGUGGGGAUGACGUCAAGUCCUCAUGGCCCUUACAGGGUGGGCUACACACGUGCUACAAUGGGGACUACAGAGGGUUAAUCCUUAAAAGUCGUCUCAGUUCGGAUUGUCCUCUGCAACUCGAGGGCAUGAAGUUGGAAUCGCUAGUAAUCGCGGAUCAGCAUGCCGCGGUGAUACGUUCCCGGGCCUUGUACACACCGCCCGUCACACCAUGGGAGUUGGUUCUACCCGAAGGCGGUGCGCUAACCAGCAAUGGAGGCAGCCGACCACGGUAGGGUCAGCGACUGGGGUGAAGUCGUAACAAGGUAACC
rnacentral:rRNA from 1 species